rnacentral:rasiRNA from 1 species
UAACAACAAAGCACCUGGACAUGACG